rnacentral:lncRNA from 1 species
UCUCCCCUUGUGUUGGCCCUGCUGAAAAUGGUCUUUGUAUUCCACACAGGUGACGGGAGGAAGAAGACUGGGAACAUAAUUCCAAAGAGGCCACCUGCGCCAAAAGCGGGCAACCACGCCUGGCUGGCGAAGCCCUGAGGCAAGUAUUCUUCUACCACUUACAACUCCUUAGAAGUUGCAACGUGCAUGUGAAAAGCUUCUGCCAUAAGAAAAUAAGAGAGAUAGCAUGCUUGCCACUUGGCUGUGUCAUGUAAAGCCUAAAUAAAAGUUUACGUUCCCCACUUUCUUGACCUUCAUAGGAAUGGGAGAGAGGCAGGCGCUCGCGCAGCAGCUVGAGCACAAGCACAGGGAUGUGAGGUCUGCGUUUUUGUGGCAAUUGAUGAUGGGCUGUAUGACAUUGGAAUGAAUCAAAGCGGCAAGUUGGUUUCUCAUUGGCUUCUUUCCUCAGGAGUUUUCAACUGGCUCCACUUUCAGAUGCCGAAUUGCUCGCGCCGCAUCUGUGAGGAACAAUGAUGUUGAAUAUUUGCAGCAAC